CCACAGGCUGGACCUACGUCUCCUAAUUUUCUACCAGAUGGGCAUCCAGGGUGGAACUGCUGCCUCUGGGAAUCUCGUCAGAGCCGUCCCCACAGUUGUCCAUUCCAUUGCACCACAGCAUGCUGGAGACACAGCGUCCAUUGUUGCACUGGCGGUGAAGUCCUCCUGGAGGACGCGGCCCUCUCGGCAGGAGCAGUUGACGUGGCCUUGGUGAGUGAGCAGGCACAGCUCCUGGCAGCCCCCGUUGUUGAUGCGGCAAGGGGAGAGUUCACCUGAGGCAGAGACAGAGCAGGGGUAGGCUGAGGGCUGUUGGCUGCU